UACUAGCGAAUCCAGCUUCACGAAGUCGGGUUGCAGACUUCGAUCCGAACUGAGAGAGGCUUUUGGGAUUAGCAUCCUGUCACCAGGUAGCUGCCUUCUGUACCCCCCAUUGUAACACGUGUGUAGCCCCGGACGUAAGGGCCGUGCUGAUUUGACGUCAUCCCCACCUUCCUCACAUCUUACGACGGCAGUCUCUCCAGAGUCCUCAGCAUGACCUGUUAGUAACUGAAGAUAAGGGUUGCGCUCGUUAUGGCACUUAAGCCGACACCUCACGGCACGAGCUGACGACAACCAUGCAGCACCUUCACAAAUGCCUUGCGGCUAACCUGUUUCCAGAUUAUUCAUUUGCAAUUUAAGCCCGGGUAAGGUUCCUCGCGUAUCAUCGAAUUAAACCACAUGUUCCUCCGCUUGUGCGGGCCCCCGUCAAUUCCUUUGAGUUUCACCGUUGCCGGCGUACUCCCCAGGUGGAAUACUUAAUGCUUUCGCUUGGCCGCUUACUGUAUAUCGCAAACAGCGAGUAUUCAUCGUUUACUGUGUGGACUACCAGGGUAUCUAAUCCUGUUUGAUACCCACACUUUCGAGCAUCAGUGUCAGUUGCAGUCCAGUGAGCUGCCUUCGCAAUCGGAGUUCUUCGUGAUAUCUAAGCAUUUCACCGCUACACCACGAAUUCCGCCCACCUCUACUGUACUCAAGACAGCCAGUAUCAACUGCAAUUUUACGGUUGAGCCGCAAACUUUCACAACUGACUUAACUGUCCACCUACGCUCCCUUUAAACCCAAUAAAUCCGGAUAACGCUCGGAUCCUCCGUAUUACCGCGGCUGCUGGCACGGAGUUAGCCGAUCCUUAUUCAUAUGGUACAUACAAAAAUCCACACGUGGACCACUUUAUUCCCAUAUAAAAGAAGUUUACAACCCAUAGGGCAGUCAUCCUUCACGCUACUUGGCUGGUUCAGACUCCCGUCCAUUGACCAAUAUUCCUCACUGCUGCCUCCCGUAGGAGUUUGGACCGUGUCUCAGUUCCAAUGUGGGGGACCUUCCUCUCAGAACCCCUAUCCAUCGAAGGUUUGGUGAGCCGUUACCUCACCAACUGCCUAAUGGAACGCAUCCCCAUCGAUAACCGAAAUUCUUUAAUAAUUAAACCAUGCGGUUUUAU
rnacentral:rRNA from 1 species